rnacentral:rRNA from 1 species
GAGUUUGAUCAUGGCUCAGAACGAACGCUGGCGGCGUGGAUAAGACAUGCAAGUCGAACGGGAGAAUUGCUAGCUUGCUAAUAAUUCUCUAGUGGCGCACGGGUGAGUAACACGUGAGUAACCUGCCCCGAGAGCGGGAUAGCCCUGGGAAACUGGGAUUAAUACCGCAUAGUAUCGAAAGAUUAAAGCAGCAAUGCGCUUGGGGAUGGGCUCGCGGCCUAUUAGUUAGUUGGUGAGGUAACGGCUCACCAAGGCGAUGACGGGUAGCCGGUCUGAGAGGAUGUCCGGCCACACUGGAACUGAGACACGGUCCAGACACCUACGGGUGGCAGCAGUCGAGAAUCAUUCACAAUGGGGGAAACCCUGAUGGUGCGACGCCGCGUGGGGGAAUGAAGGUCUUCGGAUUGUAAACCCCUGUCAUGUGGGAGCAAAUUAAAAAAGAUAGUACCACAAGAGGAAGAGACGGCUAACUCUGUGCCAGCAGCAGCCGCUGUAAC